GAUGGCGACCGGCGCACGGGUGAGUAACACGUAUCCAACCUGCCGAUGACUCGGGGAUAGCCUUUCGAAAGAAAGAUUAAUACCCGAUGGCAUAGUUCUUCCGCAUGGUGGAACUAUUAAAGAAUUUCGGUCAUCGAUGGGGAUGCGUUCCAUUAGUUUGUUGGCGGGGUAACGGCCCACCAAGACAUCGAUGGAUAGGGGUUCUGAGAGGAAGGUCCCCCACAUUGGAACUGAGACACGGUCCAA
rnacentral:rRNA from 1 species